ensembl:snoRNA
UGCAGCCCAGUCAAAUUCGGUCCCUGUCCCCCCAUGGCGGGGACCGGCCACCGGCUGCCACAGCGACCUCCGUGGCCACGUGCCCCGUGUCCCCUCCCGUGGGACCCGGGGGGUGAAUCCCACCGGAGACAUGG